rnacentral:tRNA from 1 species
ACCGAAAUAGCUCAGUAGGGAGAACGUUAGACUAUCUAUAGAUCGAAAGGUCCCUGGUUCAAUCCCGGAGAUUCGGCA